GACUUGCGUCCUGGUGUUGGAGGAGAGGGGAGCUUGUUCAGCCCAGUCAGGAGUGGCAUGCUCUUCUUGGUUCAGCCCAAAGACACAGGCUUCUAAAGGUGCCUUCUCAACAUUGAGCCAUGGGAAGUUUUGCCAAGUGAGUUGUCUUCACUCCUCCGAACACCAGGAUCUGGGUUGUGCCAAGGUAUCCUUCCAGGCUCAUCUUGUUGCUACCAUCUGGUGGGCAAAGCCCAGACAGCAGAGAUUGAGCCAUCCCGAUUCAGCAGAACAUUCUGAUACAGUUGACAGUAUCUGUCGCAUGGCAGGUAUCCUGUGAGACCCUGAGGAUAAAAAGGAAGAAACAAAACCAUCUCUGCUCUCAAGGAACUUAACUUUCUUUUGGAGGGAACAGCUAAAUAUAGACUAUAUAUGAAAGUAAAUAUGGAGUAAUUUCAGCAUGGAGGCACUUGACCAAUCCAAGAAACAGAAGGCAUUUGACUUUACCCUUGAAGAAAACUAACAAUUUGAAGAGCCCAAGAUGAGAAGGAAGUCUAUUCAGACAUGAGGGGAAUCUUGGGCAAAGACACACAGGUGAGAGAUUGAAUGCUGAGUUCAGAAGUCAGUGAGUACAGUUUGACUGUGUCAUAGAGCUUGUAAAAGAGUUAUUUGUGAAAAUCCUAGAAAGGUAGGCUGGAGAUAGAUUUGAAGGACAGAGAAUGGACUUUGUUUAAAUAUAGUGGGGGACAAAAAAAGAAAAUAAAAAAGUAGGAAGAAAGAAGGUGGCAUAGAGAGUAGAUCACUGACAAAAGAGAGGAAGCAGAGCUGUUCGACUUUGAUUUUGCUUCUUUUCUCUAUUUUUGCUUCUUUUUUUCUAUUUUUUUCUUUUGCUUUUUUUCUAUUUCCUAGUUUCCCCCUACCAUGGAGAAUGAACUUUGGACUGGACUGGACCAAACAAAAAGUACUUGUAGGGAGAUGAUACUCAAGAGAAGUAAUGAGAUAGCAAAAAUGGACACUGGUGAAUUUGUCACCAAGCCCAAACAAACUACAUUCCAGGGUAUACACACAACACACACACACACACACACACACACACACACACACACACACGUCAUAUGAAGAUAAACGGAAGCUUCACAAUGUUUAGUCAAGAGAAAAGGAGGUGGGAAUAGAUAGUUUUGUUCAAGUAAGUGGAUGAGUGUUAGAUUCCUCAGCUGGAAC